rnacentral:lncRNA from 1 species
GGGGAUUUACAUGCAAGCUACAGAAGACACUAGGCUUUUACUUCAAAAUUAGUUUUGUUUUAUUUGCUUCUUACAGGUGAAAAUGCUACUUUACAUAGAAGCCUAUUUUAUUUCAUAAAAUUAAAUGAACCAAAACCCCAAAGUGCAAUGAGACAUACACAUCAUGACCACACUAUUUCAGAAAGCUGAAGGGUUGCCAGUCCAUUGAUCUCAGACUUCAUGAACCACAGUGCAGCUCAAAUUGGUUCUCUGCAGAAGCUUUGAGUUUCUGCCAAAACAGCCAGUGCAGAACUCUGAAAACCACAAGGUACAGAGAUGGCAUCUAGGCACAUUUUUAAAACUGUUAACUCUUUCAUUGAAGUUUACUUUGUUACUUUACUAAAGGGGCUGGUGUCACACCAGACAUUUUUCUUGCUUAAAGGCAAUAUGCAGUAAUUGUUAGGAUAACAUAUUACUGAAAACAUGAAACUAAAUGUGGGGCCUGUGUGAGCUUCCUUCUUUUGCCAAUGGAUUACAAAUGCUUUUUCCUGUAUACAAUAGUACUAACAUUAAACAAUAAAUAUAGAAUUCCUAUUGUGGGUUGAUUUGGGGCAUAUCAAGUCUCUUUUUUUGUUUCCAAUUGCUACCUGUAGCAGCAGCAUCCAGUAGCCUAAAACCAUUCAGUCAAUGCCCCACCCAGCCUCAGAGUCAAUCCUAAUGUAACCAGGCAAUAUAUUAAGAGCUCCAUCCACAAUCAUUAAAUGGAACCUGAAAUUAACGGCACAUUCCUGGGUCCAGAAUCCAGAACGAAGUGUCCUAUGCAUUCAUACACACAGUCAACUGCAGCCCCUCUCCCAUCCAACAAUUCUGUUGCCCAGUCUUCACUGCUGGAUGUCUGUCCUUAAAGACAUCAUCCACUCCUGGGUUGUAACUGAUAUCCUAAGCUAAACUACCACUGGUUUAACAGGGGCUCUGCCCCCUCACUAAAAUCUGGGCUGACACCUCUCACCCUGUUCCUAGAACUGGUUGGAGCUUUGCUUCUAACUGAAUGAGCUCUUUCCUUCCCUUAUCUGGAGUGAAAACACUAGCACUGCCAGAAAUGCCUUUUGCCAUAUCCUCCCCUAACUUGAUUCCAACUCCUUGUAAAUCAUUCCUGGCUCAGGAGCUCACACCCCUUACUCUUGAUAAUGUGACUGGAAAUGCUGGUCACUCACUUACUUUAGAACCUUGGUCCCAGCUCUGUUUUUCUUGCUUCCUUCUUUUUUCUUAACCUGAGGCCCAGAACAUCUCAUAGUAGGUGUAUUACAUGGAAUAAGACAAUGUCAGUGUGUAAAAAGUACUUAUUAUAUAAAGGAUAUCUUGAAGACAUCUUUUUUAUUCAAUGCAAAUAACCACCACAAUCAUUCUUUUUGGUGGUUUCUAAUUUUUUUUUAAUGAAAAAUAAACCUUUACAUUUUCCUAACGAGAAAAUAGUAUAGUUUCCUUAUAUUCCAAAAUCUGAUAAAACACGGGAUCAAGUUAUUCUUUUCGAGAUGCUGUUAAUGUUAGGUGUUGGAGAGCCCAACUAGUACCUGCAUUAAGUAGUUAACUUUGUGUUUGAGCUUGAUUCUUUCUAUAAAGUUUUCCGUACUAUCUACAUUUUGUGCUACCCAGUUUCCAUGGCAACAUGUUUGUUCCCAUGGAGAAACAAAAGUGAACACCUUAACAGAGUUGAAGAUAUAAAACCUCACUCAGUGGAUAGUUUGCUCAGAGGUUAUUCCAGAACAAAACAAAAAGAUGGAAAAGCAGAAAAUAUAUCCAGGUUUCAAAUUCCAGCUCAAAACUAAGAAAAUACUUCUGAUUUUUUUUGACCUGCCAAGUAACAAAUCAUUUUGGUGUCCUUAACAGCAACUUCUUUUUUUAAUAUAAUUUAUUGUCAAGUUAGCUAACAUACAUUGCAUACAUUGUGCUCUUGGUUUUGGGGGUAGUGUCCCGUGAUUCAUCACUUACAUACAACACUUAGAGCUCAUCCCAACAAAUGCCCUCAAGGCCCAUCACCCAUUUUUCUCCUCUCCUCCACCCCCUCCAUCAACCUUCAGUUUGUUCUCUGUAUUUGAGUCUCUUAGAGGUUUGUCUCCUUCUCUGUUUGAAACUAUUUUUUCCCCUUCCCUUCCCCCAUGGUCUUCUGUUAAGUUUCUCAAGUUCCACAUAUGAGUGAAAACAUAUAAUACCUGUCUUUCUCUGACUGACUUACUUCACUUAGCAUAAUACCCACCAGUUCCAUCCAUUUUAUUGCAAAUGGCAGGAUUUCAUUCUUUCUCAUUGCCAAGUAGUAUUCCAUUAUGUGUAUGGCUUAAUAGCAACUUUAAACUGAUUGUGUUUUCCCCAAAAGCAAUUUGUAAAACUCACUACUUAGACAAAGAGCCUUUUUAAUGGUGAUUUGAUGGUUUGUUUUAUUUUAGCAAUUUGGUUCUCAUAGUAGCAAUUUGCAUUUACAUAUUUCAAGAAUUUUUGAAUUUUCAUGAAACUCCCUAAAUUUAAACCAACCUGAUUGAAACAAAACAAAACAAAACAAAACAAAACAACUGUACACUAAGGCAAUGACAUUCUGAGCAAAUGAUUACAAGGUUACUUUUUAAUAAAAACAAAUUCUUUUUGUUUUUUUCUUUAAUGUCCGUAACUUUCCUAGUGUAUCUUUUUGUCUGUAUAUGUCAUUUCAGUAGAGCCCGCAGACUGCAAAUGGGUGGGAAUUUGGCUGCUUUGAUUGAAUAUGAAGGGAAGUUGGUAGCCUUAGUUAGGCUGCUACUAUUAUGCCAAAUUCCUAACACCAUUACAGCAGGACUUUGGAUGAUACUAGUAAAAUAAUUCACACCCAUUUGCAAGCUCCAUUCAAGUGGCAUAAACUUUACUUGUAAAAGACAAAGCAAAAUCACUUGGCUCCAGUGGCUCUUUGCUGUGUCACCUCCCUGUCUCCUGCCUGCCUACUUUCCCUCCCACUUAUAAUCCAGACACUGCUCCCUUUCCAUUUCUAUCCCACAUGUCUUUGUCUGCUGUUCCCCCUUUGUGCUUUUUUUUUUUUUUUUAAUCUUUAAGCCUUGACCUCCUUUUCCCCUCUGUUCUGCUAUUUCUACCCUACAAUGUCAUCACUUUUUCUGGCUUCACUCUUGUUUCUUAUACCGUGCCCUCUUCAAUCUUUAACUUUUUGGGGGGGUGGUAUUAUCCUUAUUUGCAGUCUUCUCUCCUGCUUUUAGUUUACUUUUCAUUCUUGACACCUUUUCUUACUCUUUGUACCCCCUCUUCUAGAAGUUUGCACAAGUUGCUCUUUUAAAAUUUUUAGGGAUUGUACCCUGGCGAUUUUUUUUCUCCCCUUCCAUGUAUUUUUUUUUUUUUUUCCUGAUUACUUGAAUCCCAGUCCCACGGACUUUGUGCAAAAUAUUACAACUGAAACAAUUAGAAUAUUUCUUUCAUAUAAUAAAAGUUAGAAGACAAUCCUUAGAAAUUAGCAUCUUAAACAGUAGACUGCUUUUGUUUUUUCUCUUUGUCCCCUCUGUAAGUUCACAGUGAAUAGAAUCAAUGAGAUUUGUCAUCUACUAGAUUUGUCUAGAUCAGGCAUUAUUCACUUGAAUCAAGUAGGAAAGAGCAGGACUCUGAAAUCAGCUAGUCCAGCAUGCUGAACUGUUGCCACUCAAGAUAAAAUAACCUUUGUACAUUAUGUGGUCGACUGACCAGGAGCAGAAAAAAGACGUGACUCAGGAUUAAUUAUAGUUUUUAUGGCGAUAGUUAUAAGAAACAAGAACCAAAGGUUUUUCUCCUACUUAUUUUCAUAUGGUAUUGGGGUAAAUGCACUUGGGCACUUCCAUCAUUUUAUACUGUUUAUUCCAUAUGGCAGAUAAAAUAACAAAAAUUUCUUGAUAUAGAGAUUUCUUCUGCUUCCCUAUCAUCAAAUGAGCAUACAGUUUGAGUUGUUUUUUUGUUUGUUUUGGGAAUUGGAUGUUCAUCUUUCUUUUAUAGACUUUCACCUAAUUUCCAAAAGUAUGCAAUAGUGUAUUGCAUGUAAAGAUAAAUGGUCCAUUCAGGUUUAAAUGCAUUGUUUUAAACUAAGGAGAUAUAUAUCUUAAUAUUUGAAUUAUUCAUGACCAUAUAGUUACAUAAAUUAUAUGAGAUAUACAUAUAUAACUAAAUCCAUUAGCAUAGUGGCAGAUUCUUUAUUUAUGCUUUCACAAACUUGUAAUUAAAAAUUAUAUAAAAAUUUUAUUACAGAGGAAUUUUCCACAUCUUCUUUUCUUCACUAUUGACAUAAUUAUAGCACCAACACAUAGUCAUGUAUGUUGAGCAUUGCACAAUGUUAGGGGGCCAUUCUUGACCUACAUGUGGGGCCCUAUAUACAGUGGAUUCAUUUUGCAAUUCUCACUGAAACUAUACUGUGCUUUUACUUGUUAGAUGAACAAAAUUUUCUAUAUCGAUAAUGUUGAAUUAUAUUUGGUUUUACUCUCUAAAAAUCCUGAAAAAAAAGGUAACAUUUUAUAGCUAAGAGGAAAUGUACAGACCAUCCACUUUUUCUCUUUCAUGUUCUAAAGAAGAAAAAUGUUUCCAGAGAAGUGAUGUAUCCUGACUAUAAUUUUAUCGCCAUAUAUACCAUCAGAAUCAUGUUAGAGCCAGCUCUCCUAAUUCCUAUCCUCAGGAAUAUCAUUUUGAAUAUUCAUGGUGACAAGGAGAAUAUAUGUUUACCACAUUAAUCUCAUAGGUCCAACUUUCUAGAUUUUUAGCCUAACUUUACUCAUAGACAAUUUUACAUUGUAAACUGCUAGAGGAAUGAAGUUUGCUACGUAAUCAAACAACAUACGAAAUGUUUUUUUGAGAGGGGAUGUUACCUUGCCAUUGACUAACAUAGUGGAGAAUAUUUAGAAUAGGAACAAUUCAAUGCUACUGUUACAUCUAUAUUACUACACUACAGUUUUGGAAUAUGAACAUUCAGUAAUUGAAAUAGAGUUUCUUCGGGAUUAAAAUGAUUCCCUUCCCAAUAAUGCACUGGGAAAUCACCAAUUUACUUAUCUUCUCUAUAGAGCUUUUCUUUAUUAAUAUCAACCCACACUUUUCCUUCUCUUUUUUUUUUAUUGCUCAACAGUAACGUGUGGUUUUUGCUAUAGUAUUUUAAUUUGUUUCUGUACUCUAAUUGCAUCUUGAAACCUGUCAACUCCAUGUGUUCUAAGUUUGUCUUUUACUUGUUUUCCCUCCUCCAUGAUCUUGAGUGUGCAUAUAUUGAUGUUAAAUGUGCUAUUUAAGGGGACAAGAAUUGAACUAGAGAUAUGUCAUCACAUAAGUCCUAAUUAAUUGGAAACAAAUAUCCAAAUUUAGUCUAUCUUGCCAAAAGUGUUGUCAACGUGUACAGCAUGAAUCUAAAUGUUAACAGAUGAAUCAUUAAUAAUAACUUUAAGCGAAAAUUACUACCAAGAAAUUUCUAAUAAUGAUGCUUAAAUUUGUUUCCUCUGGUAGAUUAAAGCAUAUUGAUAAAAAGAACAAACAGAGAGGAAAACCUAGUGCAUACCAUCAAAAAAUCAUAACACUUUAAAAUUAUUUUUAUUUCCCCCUUUUUUCCCUAGAAUUUAAAGAGGUAUACGAUGGAUUUGAUCAUCAACUUUCAUUUGAGAGAGUAAUGCAAGAGAAAAAGAACACAGUACUCCAAGAAACCAUAGCUUCUGGCAGAUGUUGCAAGAAUGAGUUAGAUCAUUGACCUUUUUUUCUGGGGCAUUGUGUCAAUUUUGAGUGGAGUUUCCAAUUGCACAAUAGCAUCUGGACAGUUUUGACAUCUUUAUUACACUCUGUGAGUUCUUAAAAUGCUACCAUUUUGUUUUAAAGAUGAUUUGUUUCAAAAUUAAAAUAAUUAUUUAACUGCCAAGAGUAAUUAAUCCCAUGACUGAAUUCCAAUAAAAUUCUCUUCCCAGAUCUGGCUUCCUAACGAAUAUUCAUAAUCAGAAUACCCAUUGUUUAAUCAAAAUCAGGAUUUGAUUAAUGAUAUUAACACUCAAAUCCAUUUCUUUGAAGACCUAAUUUUGUUUCUUGUAUUUGCUUUGCACUCAAUUACUGUGGUUUAAAUAGUCUGUUUAACAUGACCACUUUCAAACAAGAUCAUAAAUUCUCAUAAAAGCAGCCUAAGGAAUUCAUAAUCAUAGCUCUUGGCCGCCACCUAAAGGUUUCUUUUUUAUUUUAUUUUACAUAAGACCUACUGUGCAUUCCUUUAAUAAUAAAAUUGUUGCCUAUAUCA